UACGGGGGGGGCAAGCGUUGUUCGGAAUUACUGGGCGUAAAGGGCUCGUAGGCGGCCAACUAAGUCAGACGUGAAAUCCCUCGGCUUAACCGGGGAACUGCGUCUGAUACUGGAUGGCUGGAGUGUGGGAGAGGGAUGCGGAAUUCCAGGUGUAGCGGUGAAAUGCGUAGAUAUCUGGAGGAACACCGGUGGCGAAGGCGGCAUCCUGGACCAUUACUGACGCUGAAAAGCGAAAGCCAGGGGAGCAAACGGG
rnacentral:rRNA from 1 species